CCUACGGGAGGCAGCAGUAAGGAAUAUUGGUCAAUGGAGGCAACUCUGAACCAGCCAUGCCGCGUGCAGGAAGACUGCCCUAUGGGUUGUAAACUGCUUUUAUCCGGGAAUAAACCACAUUACGUGUAAUGUGCUGAAUGUACCGGAAGAAUAAGGAUCGGCUAACUCCGUGCCAGCAGCCGCGGUAAU
rnacentral:rRNA from 1 species